UUGUGUUGUAGCCAUGGUAACACAGCAGCAGAACCAGCGCUAACCCCUUUCAAUGGCCCCAGGGAAGAUGUUUUGCAGCCAACCAAUCAGCAUCGGCGCUGUGUGAAAUUCAGCCAAUCGGGAAGCAGACUCCCUCUGUCCCCAGCCUCAGUGGUUGGCGGAUCAGCGCUCCUGCUGCUUGGCGCCCCCCUGGAGACAGCCUGAACCACAGAGCCCUGCUUGCUUGACCUGAGCAGUGACAUUUUGGAGAAAUGUGCACAUCUGGAAAUGUCUUACAUUCCCACUGAUGAUUAUUAACUGAUGUUACAGACUCAGUUGUGUCUACAGCACAUUCCUGUGUUGACGUCCUAACUCCACCAUCUCAGAUUCUGACUGUAUUUGGAGACAUGGCCUUCGAAGAAGUAAUGAAGGUAAGAUGAAGCUGUUAGUGGAGCUUUAAUCCAGCUGGGCACACAAGAAGACCUGAAUUUGGAUCCCCAGCACCCAUCUAAAAGCCAUCUGUAGCCAUGCAUGCCUGUGACACCAGCAUUCUAGGUGAGGGGUGGGGAAAAAACAGGAAGAUUUCCAGGGCUUGCUGGCCAACCAGCCUAGACAACAAUAAUGAUGAUGGUAAGAGCAACAACAACAAUAAUAAUAGUGAAUGGUGAAUGCCAGGCUGGAUGAAAAACUUUGUCUCAAAGGGAAUAAGGCAGAGAGCAAUAAAGGAAGAUAUCCAAUGUACUCCUCUGAUAUGCAUACGGGCACACAUAUGCACACAUGUGUGUGCAUGCAUAUACAACACAUGAAUACAACACACAAAAAGAUAAGUUAAACGGAAGAAACUAGGAGACAGAUAAUGCGAAGUGACCUUGUAAAUAAUGAGGGUGUCGGAGUGACCAUCUCUGAGGAAGGAGAAAGGCCCGGGAAUAAAUCAAGAAAUCAGCCUCAGACUUACAUCACCCACAGAUGUGAGAAAGUGUGUUGUUUGGGUGAAGCUUCUGGGUCUGUGGCUCGGGCAGCGGAGCGAAUCCACAGAGCUAGUGCAGUGUGGCCCAAAUCAACACGAUUUUCCUUCAGAAUGUUGAAGACAUUGCUGCUUCCUUUCAACCUUCCGAAUUACAAGAAUCUUCUACCAUGCGAUUCUUGGGCCUUUGCAUCUGACCCCAGCCACCUUAUCUGAAUGUCCCUCAGAGAGUGGUGGCACUUCUGCUUGCCCUGGUGCUUUGAAAUUUGAACUGCAAUCAAUCACAACAACCUCCAUCCUGAGUGCUUUCACAUUAAACCCCAACCCCCUCCCCCAGCAUACUCCAGACUCCGGAAAGCCAAGGUGCUGGGAAACUGAGGCAGGCUUUGGAGAAAGAACUAAAGAGGCCGUUUUUGCUAAGUAUGUCUGGCACAGGCUGGUGCUGGUAGGUGCCUUCCAUCCUCCCUGGCAUCUGAUGGGCCAUGCUGGUCCUGCCAAUCUGUGAUCACCCAGCAUGAGCCCAAUUCUGCAGCCAGGGCUGGAGUAGCAUCGAUCUGUCAUGUCCCGCACCUGAUAGCUUAUGAGUAGGGACUCAGAAGCAAACCCCCAGGCUUGGUGAGGCAGAAGCUAUUGCCCCUUAAAGAGACUCCUAAUAUCCCUUCAAGUCGGUUUUUUGUUUCAGAGAAGUCAUCCCACAGAAAACUCCAGGGGGCAUUUAAAGGAGCCCAAAUCAUGGAAUCAUUCUUCUGCAUGAUCUGAAAUAAACGUGUUCAUUGUAAUGCUAAA